GUAUUAAUCCUCUGCUGACUUUCAGCUACUCAGCCCCAGUGGUGCAGCAGGAGAUGGGGCUAGAGAGGGCAGCAACACGGGGAGCUCCACCAUGAUCCUGUAGAAGUUUCCAGAAACCUCUAGAGUGCAAGUGAACCGUAACUGUGAAUUAGGUGCUGGAAAACUGUAUUACUGUGUCAUAUCGCUGCCACUAAAAAGUGUAGCCAUGGCAGUUUCUGAUGGAGCAACGAAGAUAACACAGUUCACAGGCAGUUGGGCCUUGCUCUGAGCUCAAGCUAAGGGUGCAAUUCCAUUGAUUGGGUUAAGAGAGGACAUACCUGUGGGUCUGCAUCACCUUGGAUGUUACUGACCACAGGACUAGCAUGCUUCAGCCUCACCAGACAGGUGAGAGGUGUCCUGGGUGGCUAUCAGUACAUCCCACAUGGACAUUUAUCUGAAAUGCUUGUAUCACAAAAGUGAUGAAGGGAAUUAAAAUGGCAGGGUGGCUGGCCUAUAAAAUAGUCAAAAAUUCCAAUAACUUGAUGGCAGUUGAACUUUAUUUUUAGGAUGUGAUUGACAGGGGAUGAUUGAGUAGUGCUGUGUCCAUUUAGCUCUGAUGGACCCAGUAAAGCAAGGUGAAGACACUGACAAACGGAUGUCAUUGCUCGCUGACGCCAAUAUUCCGGUCCUGUAUGGCAUUUGUGACACACAAUGAUCCAAGUGUCAUCUUUUGCUCAUUUUUUUUAUGGUUCAUUUUUCUUUUUUUCUGGUCCUUCUGCCUCUCAGCUCAUGGCAGAAAGAGGAUAAAAUGCCACCCCAGGAUACUUCUGUAAUAGUCCCUAUUGUGCUUUUCUUUUUCCUUUGAAAGUAUGAAAGCAUUUAAACGAACUCAGGUAUUACUCGGAGACUGCAAAAAGAGGUACCGCAAGGAACAGGCUGAGCACCAGUACUGGAGUGCUUGUGGGUGCUGAUUCUGAACCCGCCUGUGAAGAUAAGGGCAAAAGAUUAAGCCAAAUGAAGCUGACGAGAACCACCUUAUUUUGCAAACUCAGUGCCCCCCGUGCUUUUGCACAGUUUGUUUUCUUCCCUUGUCAGUGAGGGGAUGUUUUGUUUUCUCUGUUCCUUUGAAUUACAGUUGUGAUUCAGCUGUCACAGCAAUGUGGAUUUGGGGCAGUAGAAAACUGCUGUGCACUAAUGCUUACUGGACUUGACCUGCUGACCCGUUAUUUUGCAGAAGAUGGCUUACAGCUUUCAUUCAUGACCCGAACUGGCCUAAUUAUUGCAAUUCUAAGAGAAGAGUAGCAUCAUUAGGGUCCUAGUUUACAUUUGCUUGUUCCUCUUCUGUAGGUCCCCAGCAAUGAAGAGAGAUUGCAGUGCAGCGUUCUCCGGAUUACUGUGCCACCUCUGUUGAACUGGAGCAUCAACCAUAUAAAUCUUGUGUAAGCUUCUGGCCCCAUUUCAGCCAGUUCACGUGUUAUCUGAAGUGCACUCAGCAGCAAAGCGCUCUGGAGGCUGUUCUUUUGGAUUUUCUGUUAGUGCAAUGCAAGGCGACGCAAAUUUGAAUUCACAUCAACGACACCAUCAUGUUUGCCAUAGGUAAUUAUAUGCAGACAUAUUACGUCUUCCUCUAGAAUGUACCUAUGGAUGGUCUGCAAACAACACUGAAGUUUACAUCUUAAAGGCCCACUGCUCAGCUUCGUUUAGAGAAGCAGGAGUUCAAAGUGCGCCGUGGGCUUCAGAGGGAGGAAAAGUGGCAGAAAUCCUCCCAGGACAAACAAAAGGAAACCACAGGACUUGAUCCAAGGAGCAACGUGAAUCCAACAUGCGUAUGAGUUGAGUUGCGCCGCAGCCCAGCUGAAGGGUAUCGAAAUGAAAUCUUCUCCAGGAAAAUCUCCAUGCUAGCACUAUGGAACUUGAAGUUUCAGCUUUAAAGGUCGUCUGGUUUUAUCAAGAUGCCAUUCUGUGCAUUCUCGGUGGUAUUGACAGCAUGCGGUGGGUGAUCUUCCUCCAGCAACCGGACAUGGUGUAUGCAAACAACCCCAAAAUAAUGGACAUUCCUUUUGCAUUUUAAUUUAGCACUGUUUAACUGAUACACUUUGCAUAUGUGUUUAGAACACAAAGAACAGCUCUGGCCUCCUGAGUGGAUUCUGUCACUGGGUUUCAGCAAGUAAAUCAACUCCCUGAUCCUCAGAAAGAGGACGACUGAGCGCAAUAAAUGCUGCAAAACAUGAAAUUGUGAGUUGAAAAUGCAGUGAUACAGAGAAUAAGGCUAAAACAUCUCUGAGAUGUUAAAGAGCGUGUUGAUAGCUGCAUGCAUGGAAGACGAUGAAGUUCAUCCUUAUUUCUUUGAGAUAAAGUCAUUCGCUUAAUGUUUAGGAGUAUUUCAUACCCUCUGUUUUCUUUCCAGAAAAGCUUUCAGGAAGUCACAAUAUAAAUAUGGUUUGUCAAUGAACCAUAGGCCUGGACCGAUACCCUUCCUGCUGCAGGUGCUGUAAUAACUGAAAGGUAUUCUCAUAACUGUGAUAAGGACAGGGGUGUUUUUUUCAUUUAUGCAAGUGAAAGGUGCUGUUGUCAUCUGAUGAGUUGACUGAGCUUUCUGUAUUUGUGGCAAAAAUCCGAAUAUUCCUACGGCAUCCUGCAGUCAGCAGUUUCACAGCACUGGAUAUUUGCAAAAGAGCCUCCACAUUCUAAUUCGGUGACACAUAAAUCUGCUGCUCCCUAACUUCCAGCACUGGCCUUUCCAAAUCCAAAGUUAAAUGGAUUCUACCCCAAGAGCUGAAUCGUCACCUCAACUGUAGCGCUUGAGAGAUUUGCUGUUACUGAGGAAAUUGGUCUCCUACAUAUUUUUAUGGAAUAAUUUCCCAAAGAUGUAUCUUCAGUGUAUGGGUAAUACAGUAUAUCACAACAUUGUAGCUUC
rnacentral:lncRNA from 1 species